rnacentral:pre_miRNA from 1 species
AUGUAGCUGUUACAUGUAGAACUUUAAAUAGGAAUAAAUUACUUGAAAAGAAAUGAAUGCUAGAUAGUUUUCUAUUCGAGUCAAAAGUCUUAU